CAGCACCUCAAGUGGUCAGGAUGAUUAUUGGGCCUAAAGCAUCCGUAGCCGGCGCUGUAAGUUUUCGGUUAAAUCUGUACGCUCAACGUAUGGGCUGCCGGGAAUACUGCAAAGCUAGGGAGUGGGAGAGGUAGACGGUACUCGGUAGGAAGGGGUAAAAUCCUUUGAUCUAUUGAUGACCACCUGUGGCGAAGGCGGUCUACCAGAACACGUCCGACGGUGAGGGAUGAAAGCAGGGGGAGCAAACCGGAUUAGAGACCCGAGUAGUCC
rnacentral:rRNA from 1 species